CAGAGAAAAGUGGUGGCGGUGCGGGUACGGGGACGGGGGCGGGGGCGAGAGAAAAAGAGAGAGGAGAGAGGGGCGGGGAGGGGCGGGGAGGGGAGGGGGUUUAGAUUCAUUAUAUCUCUGCUUAAGAGUCUUUACUCUACAAACUAUACGCGCUAUAUGUUUGAAUAAAAGUGUGCGUUGAUGUGUAUGCCCGGAGAUUGACUUUGGUAUAUACAACACAAACUAAGUGAAAUCUAGAACACCAGAUUCUCACAUAAAACCUGCGUUACGAGAACUGGCUCGGUCGAGGCUUCUCGAGAACAAAGCACACCUACGUGACCCGUGGCGGAAUCACACGCGAGUUGGCACGACUAGGGACCUCUGUGUCAUGUCAUCUGACUUUUGAAAAAAAUCGACUGCCUUUAUAAAAACCAAAAAAAAAAAAAAAGAAAGAAAGAAAGAAAGAAAGAAAGAAAAGAGAAAAACAAACCAAUACCGAAGAAAA